AUUGAACGCUGGCGGCAGGCUUAACACAUGCAAGUCGAGCGAGCGGCGGACGGGUGAGUAAUGUCUGGGAAACUGCCUGAUGGAGGGGGAUAACUCCUGGAAACGGUAGCUAAUACCGCAUACCAUCAGAUGUGCCCAGAUGGGAUUAGCUAGUAGGUGGGGUAAUGGUUCACCUAGGCGACGAUCCCUAGCUGGUCUGAGAGGCUGACCAGCCACACUGGAGCGGAGACACGGUCCAGAUUCCUACGAGAGGCAGCAGUGGGGAAUAUUGCACACUGGGCGCAAGCCUGAUGCAGCCAUGCCGCGAGUGUGAAGAAGGCCUUCGGGUUGUAAAGAACUGUCAGCGAGGAGGCGUUACUCGCAGAAGAAGCACCGGCUAACUCCGUGCCAGCAGCCGCGGUAAUAC
rnacentral:rRNA from 1 species